UACCCUUUCCCCUGUGUACAACAGUCCAGAAUGAGAACCGAAGUCUCUAAAAGGACCUAUGAGGCCCUGUUGGAUCUGACCCCAGUCUGCCUCUUCAGCCUCAUUCGGCCUCACCCCACCUGCUCUCUGUGCUCUCACUUCCUCAGAUACUCCAAGCCUCUUCUAAGCACUGGAAUUUUUUUUUAUCUGCUAUUUCCUCUUCCUUACUGCCUUUGCCUACUUAGUUCUUACUGUGCCUUCAGAUCUCAACUCACUCUUCACUUUCUCAAGGAAGCUGUCCCUAGCUCUCCUGAUGAGAACAAAUCCUCCCAAUACAUAUUCUCAUAAUACUAUGGAGCCCUCCUUGAUAGGACUCCACAUAGCUGUCAUUUAACAUUCAUUUGUGUAACUGUCUAAUUAAUGUAUGUCUGUCUUACUAAAAUAUAAUGAGGUCCAUGAGAGUAAGAAUUUUAGUUUUUGCCACCAACUAUAUUCCAGUCCUAAUAAAUAUUUGUGGAAUGAAUGAAUGAAAAACACAGAAUCUCUUUGAGAUAGGAAGAG